UAGUAGGUGGGGAGUCGUCCCGAUAGGAGGGGAUAACUACUGGAGGACGGUGGCUAAUACCGCAUAAUGUCUACGGACCAAAGCAGGGGCUCUUCGGACCUUGCACUAUCGGAUGAACCCAUAUGGGAUUAGCUAGUAGGUGGGGUAAAGGCUCACCUAGGCGACGAUCUCUAGCUGGUCUGAGAGGAUGAUCAGCCACACUGGGACUGAGACACGGCCCAG
rnacentral:rRNA from 1 species